GCAGUAGCCGCGGGAAAACGUAGGGUGCAAGCGUUAAUCGGAAUUACUGGGCGUAAAGCGUGCGCAGGCGGUUAUAUAAGACAGAUGUGAAAUCCCCGGGCUCAACCUGGGAACUGCAUUUGUGACUGUAUAGCUAGAGUACGGCAGAGGGGGAUGGAAUUCCGCGUGUAGCAGUGAAAUGCGUAGAUAUGCGGAGGAACACCGAUGGCGAAGGCAAUCCCCUGGGCCUGUACUGACGCUCAUGCACGAAAGCGUGGGGAGCAAACAGGAUUAGAUACCCCCGUAGUCCCUGUCUCUUAUAA
rnacentral:rRNA from 1 species